UACGAAGGGGGCUAGCGUUGUUCGGAUUUACUGGGCGUAAAGCGCGCGUAGGCGGGUCACUAAGUCAGGGGUGAAAUCCCGAGGCUUAACCUCGGAACUGCCUUUGAUACUGGUGACCUGGAGAUCGGGAGAGGUUGGUGGAAUUCCGAGUGUAGAGGUGAAAUUCGUAGAUAUUCGGAAGAACACCAGUGGCGAAGGCGGCUCACUGGUCCGGUACUGACGCUGAGGUGCGAAAGCGUGGGGAGCAAACAGG
rnacentral:rRNA from 1 species